CUGAUUUCUUCUUACUGCUUAUAGUAAAAUGCAGGAGAAGAGAGAUAAAUUGAAGGAAUUAGGCAAAAAGGAACUAGAAUUAAAGAUUUGGAAAAUUCUUAGCCUAUCUGUGAUAUUAUGACUUAUAUUUGGUCACUCAGAUAACCAAACAUAUUUCUCAAAUAUAUCUACUAUUCCUGGCUCAGGGCUCCCAAAACCCUUGGAAUUUCCUGAGCAAUAAAAGCAAUGGGAACAUCUUUUGUCAUGAUAUUUGGUGACAUAAGUGAAACAGAUGUCUUGUAACAAGCUCCUUUCCACAACUGGGCUUAUGUUAGUAAAGUGACUUUUGGAAAGCCCCUAAGGAUAGGGGCCGGUUGCCAGGGGAACCAAACAGGAAUAGAGGUUUGGAACUUUCAGUCCCAUCCCCACCCCCAACUCUUGGGAAGGGAGAGGGGAUGGAGUUUGAAUCAAUUACCAAUGGCCAGUGAUUUAAUCAAUCUUGCCUAUGUAAUCAAGCCUCCAUCAAAAAUCCAAAAGGAUGGGAUUUGGAGAACUUCUGGGGUAGUGAACACACAGAGUCCAGCAAGAAGGACCUUGAAGGUAGAGAAAAUUCUUCCUCCCAACAGUGUGACUCAUGGAUUCAGUCAGCCAUCUCAGAAGUAUGCAGGAAUAGAGAGGAGAUUAUACCAACAGAAACACUGCCAACUUUUAGUAAUGGGGACAGAGUCAACAAAAUAAAGGAAUCCUGUUGGACUUCUGGGAUUCUACAGGAUGAAAAAAAAUAGAGCUCUGCCAGUCCCCAUUAUCCUUCAAGAAAAGGGAGGAAUAGCACCAAAAGCUUUUCAGAGAUCAGCAGAGCUGUCACUCCUACCAUGAGCCCUGAGGAUAUAUGUCUAGGGGUGGAGGACCAAGCUGUAUCCUCAGUUUAAGUCGGUCAGGCUGCUACCAACCAGUCCUUCAGGAACAAAGCUACUGCCCAGGACCAAGAAGAUGAUGCUGCCACCUCCAUAGCCCCAGAGGACAAAGUAUUAAGCCAGAAAAGAUUAUACUAGAGCCUUCAAAUCUAACGGAAUUUGCUUUGCUAAGUUUUGGACUUCCUUUGGAUCCACACCCUCUUUCUUCUUUCUCUCUUUUAAAAUGAGAAUGUUGAGGUCCUGGGUGGCUCAGUCACUAGGCGUCUGCCUUCAACUCAGGUCAUGAUUCCAGGGUCCUGGGAUCAAGCCCCGCCUUAGGCUCACUGCUCAGCAGGAAGCCUGCUUUCUCCUCUCUUGCCUGCUGCUCUGCCUACUUGUGAUUUCUCUCUCUGUCAAAUAAAUAAAUAAAAUCUUUAAAAUAAAAUAAAAGGCAAUAAAGGUUAAAUGCGGUCAUAUUCAGUCUGUGGUAUUUUGUUAUGGCAGCCCUAGGAGACUCACUAAGACACUGUCAGGAAAGUGGAAAGACAGUAUAUAG
rnacentral:lncRNA from 1 species